rnacentral:ncRNA from 1 species
GUAAAAGUGAUGAUUGGGAAGAAAGACAAGAUGUAAAGUCACAGAGAGCCGAUGGUUGGUGGAAAUCGGCACAGAGCGCUUGUUGAGUAAAUCACCCAUGAACUCGUCAGCGAAAGCAGAAGUAAGUAGCAUGAUGCGUACCAGAUGCGUUAAUUCUGAGCCGGUUGAUGGACUGGUGCGAAGUUAUAAAUUAGGGUGGUACCGCGUAUUUUAUACGCCCCUGCA